CCCUUAGAUGUUCUGGGCCGCACGCGCGCUACACUGAUGCAUUCAACGAGUCUAAAACCUGCUCUGAUAGGGGUGGGUAAUCUUUUGAAUGUGCAUCGUGAUUGGGAUAGAUGAUUGCAAUUUUUCAUCUUCAACGAGGAAUGCCUAGUAAACGCAAGUCAUCAGCUUGCAUUGAUUACGUCCCUGCCCUUUGUACACACCGCCCGUCGCUCCUACCGAUUGAAUGAUCCGAUGAAUAUCAUAGACUGAGAGUAUAAGCAGGUUCGCCUGUCCUUGCUUCUCGGGAAGUGAAGUAAAUCUUAUCAUUUAGAGGAAGGAGAAGUCGUAACA
rnacentral:rRNA from 1 species